AUACGUAGGGUGCAAGCGUUAAUCGGAAUUACUGGGCGUAAAGCGUGCGCAGGCGGUUUUGUAAGACAGAGGUGAAAUCCCCGGGCUCAACCUGGGAACUGCCUUUGUGACUGCAAGGCUAGAGUACGGCAGAGGGGGAUGGAAUUCAGCGUGUAGCAGUGAAAUGCGUAGAUAUGCGGAGGAACACCGAUGGCGAAGGCAAUCCCCUAGGCCUGUACUGACGCUCAUGCACGAAAGCGUGGGGAGCAAACAGUAUUAGAUACCCUGGUAGUCCACGCCCUAAGCUAUGUCAACUGGUUGUUGGGUCUUCAUUGACUCAGUAACGAAGCUAACGCGUGAAGUUGACCGCCUGGGGAGUACGGCCGCAAGGUUGAAACUCAAAUGAAUUGACGGGG
rnacentral:rRNA from 1 species